CGUGGGGGAUGACGGCCUUCGGGUUGUAAACCCCUUUCAGUAGGGAAGAAGCGAGAGUGACGGUACCUGCAGAAGAAGCGCCGGCUAACUACGUGCCAGCAGCCGCGGUAAUACGUAGGGCGCAAGCGUUGUCCGGAAUUAUUGGGCGUAAAGAGCUUGUAGGUGGCUUGUCGCGUCUGCCGUGAAAACCCGAGGCUCAACCUCGGGCGUGCGGUGGGUACGGGCAGGCUAGAGUGUGGUAGGGGAGACUGGAACUCCUGGUGUAGCGGUGAAAUGCGCAGAUAUCAGGAAGAACACCGAUGGCGAAGGCAGGUCUCUGGGCCAUUACUGACACUGAGAAGCGAAAGCAUGGGUAGCGAACAGGAUUAGAUACCCUGGUAGUCCAUGCCGUAAACGUUGGGCACUAGGUGUGGGGGACAUUCCACGUUUUCCGCGCCGUAGCUAACGCAUUAAGUGCCCCGCCUGGGGAGUACGGCCGCAAGGCUAAAAC
rnacentral:rRNA from 1 species